rnacentral:rRNA from 1 species
AGCAGCCGCGGUAAUUCCAGCUCCAAUAGCGUAUAUUAAAGUUGUUGCAGUUAAAAAGCUCGUAGUUGAAUUUCGGGAUCAGCGCGUCGGUCGUGCCUCCGGUAUGCACUGGCGCCGCUGGUUUCUCCCUUCUGAGGAACCGUGAUGUCAUUAAUUUGGUGUUGCGGGAAAUCAGGACUGUUACUUUGAAAAAUUAGAGUGUUUAAAGCGGGCACGCGCUUGAAUACAUUAGCAUGGAAUAACGAAAUAGGACGUUCGAUCUUAUUUUGUUGGUUUCUAGGAUUGACGUAAUGAUUAAUAGGGAUAGUUGGGGGCAUUAGUAUUCAAUUGUCAGAGGUGAAAUUCUUGGAUUUAUUGAAGACUAACUACUGCGAAAGCAUUUGCCAAGGAUGUUUUCAUUAAUCAAGAACGAAAGUUAGGGGAUCGAAGACGAUCAGAUACCGUCGUAGUCUUAACCAUAAACUAUGCCGACUAGGGAUCGGAUGAUGUUAUUUAUAAUGA